UGGGGAAUAUUGCACAAUGGGCGCAAGCCUGAUGCAGCCAUGCCGCGUGUGUGAAGAAGGCCUUCGGGUUGUAAAGCACUUUCAGCGGGGAGGAAGGCGUUAAGGUUAAUAACCUUGGCGAUUGACGUUACCCGCAGAAGAAGCACCGGCUAACUCCGUGCCAGCAGCCGCGGUAAUACGGAGGGUGCAAGCGUUAAUCGGAAUUACUGGGCGUAAAGCGCACGCAGGCGGUCUGUCAAGUCGGAUGUGAAAUCCCCGGGCUCAACCUGGGAACUGCAUUCGAAACUGGCAGGCUAGAGUCUUGUAGAGGGGGGUAGAAUUCCAGGCGUAGCGGUGAAAUGCGUAGAGAUCUGGAGGAAUACCGGUGGCGAAGGCGGCCCCCUGGACAAAGACUGACGCUCAGGUGCGAAAGCGUGGGGAGCAAACAGG
rnacentral:rRNA from 1 species